ACACACCCUUUCCGCCAAUGAUGGCGGCAUGCCAGUCUUGUUAGUGCCACCACCAACGUCGAGCGUUCACUCUUGAUUUUGUGGCCUUAUGAAUAAACCGAUAAUAAUGCCGGCAUUUCCAUACCUGGGCGUGGGCGCAGGUCGAUUUCUCCGGUGUUUGGUUGUGUUUAUGAAACCGUGUGGUCAUUUUGAACAGAUAUUCAAUUGUGGAGGAUUAAAUCGUAGAGCUCGGUGUACAUUGCUUUGUGCUACAAACAUAUAUAAACUGAUAGCAAUCUGGAGUUCUUUUCUGAACCUUUACCUCACCAAUCGACUGCCUGGCUUUACAUACCUGUAGUGGCCUUUAUAUAUUUACUAAGGUUGCCAACUGCUUUGGCACGGAUGCAUGCACGGUUUUUUUCGUUUUUAUUUUGUCCCUUGCCUUUUAUUUUCGUCGUUCCUGAUGUUUUUAGAUAGAUUUAACUCAGAAAUUUUAAAAUCACAUAUUCUGAUAUAGUCACUGGCAAGAUUGUGCAAUCUCCUUUACCAUUUCUUCGAUCUCGUGAUUUUUCUUGGACUUCUUAUUUUAUUUCUGCCCACCUUUUCUAACACAUGAACAGUCUGCUUUGUUUGAAUUAGCUCACAAAGAGCAAGGGAAGAGCAAUGUGUUAGAAAUCAAAACAAUGUGAAUACCAUAUAGAUCUCCAGCAGAACAAAUUGCUCACCAAAAAAAAA
rnacentral:lncRNA from 1 species